rnacentral:misc_RNA from 1 species
UGAAGAAGAAGCAGCCAUCUUCAAAGAAACACUUGUCUUUCUUUCUUCUUCUCCCUUUUCUUCAACUCUUAAUAGUUCUCCAAUUAAUCCCUUCUCGUUGCAAAGCAAUAUAUAAUCAAGAAACCACACAGCCCCACAUGCGAUUUAAGUUCCUCUUUGCAUCUUAACUCAAAAGGCCAAAAAAACACAAUUCAAGGUUUUGGAUACUGAUUAAAAUGAGAAUCCUAAAAAGGAAAAUCUCAGAGAGCUGAGGUAGCUAGCUAGAGAAGAUAAAAUAAUAUAAUCAAGCCAAAGAAGAAGAAGAAGAA